CCCCUCCGCCCCUAGUUUCUCCGGGGAACGUCGUCUCCUGAGCGAGAUGGAUUGGACGGGCGGGGCUGAGGCUGGGAUGUGUCCGGCCGCUUUGCUGGGGCAUUUACUGCAGCUGAAAAGGCCGCUCCAGGCGCGGCCACCUCUGCCGGCCGGGGGAGCUCCUGGCAUCUGGGAGCCGACUUCGCGCGCCGCCGGCUGGGAAGCCCGACUCGCCUCCGCUGCGCUCAGUGCCUCCUGCCCUUGACGCGCAUCACAUUGAAUCUCCUCUGGUCUACUGAAGAACUCAACAGUGAUCCUCAUGGGUCCCCUACACCCCUGUGAGAGGACCCUCCCUGGUGUCACAACGGGUUAAAGCGCAGCACUACUAAGCCGGCUGCAGCCACAGCGGAGUUCCAUCCCCGCCCCGAGGUGACCACAUGGCACAGCAGACCUCUCCUCUCACCCACUGCGCCCCUCAGCAGUGGACUUUAUCUAUCUGCCUUCCCCAAAGCCAGGAAAGUAUUCUAUGUUUUCUCCUAUUGUUUUAAUAGUUACAUCUAAGUAUUAAAUACCUUCAAUAUGUACUUCUAAGUGUAAUUUAUUUUUGGUAUGGUGUGAAUUAGGGAUCAAGGUAC